UGGUUAGCUAGAAAGACCGUUCGGAAGAUAUCGUGAUGUACGAGGAGUUAGGGCCCACCCUCUCCAUAACGUCAGCCAAUUAUAUGGCAGAAGGAAGUUACGUAUGGAAUCCUCAGUUAUAUAAGCCGGUGUUCAUCGGCUAAUAAAUGCACUUCACCAUCCACCCUAUGGGUGUCCGUGUGUGAUUUGGCCCGUCAGACAUGUAAGGGUUGUCGACGUGUCCCGUCCUUAGAACUGGGUCGCUACGCCUCCACCUGCGAGGCAACAUAGUGGUGCCGAAACCCGGGAUCGCCCCCCGGUGUACAGGUUUGCCGCCAUGAUCCAUCUUCGUGCUCCGGUGUUCCGUCAUUGCCAAACCCGCUUCAUCGGCCAAGCAAAGAACUCAAAGACAAGUUCCAACAAUUGCCAAACACUCCGGCAGUGAAAUCAGUUCAGUUCCCCUGUUUACCCAACAGCCCUAGUUUAUCACCCAUGUGUUCACCCUGGUGGGACCUGUUGAAGUUGUUGUUCCCGUGUUAAUGUUCAAUCCCCGUUUCAUAAGUAAACUAGCCCAGUUCGUUAAAUCCCGUUUAAAUAAAAUUGAUGUUACGAUUUUAGAGCAAAGACAGUUAACUUAAAACAUUUCACCCGUUUGUUUAACCUGUUCACGUGGCGAGUUAUAUAACCAAGUUGUAGCCGUGUUCUAACGUUUAAAAUGUUCGGUACAGUAUUACUAACACGUUUCGUAAGUUGCUACUAACAGAGUUUAACACAGCCAUGAAGGCUUGACGGUUCAUGGAGAGGGGGGAAAUGUGGUUAGCUAGAAAGACCGUUCGGAAGAUAUCGUGAUGUACGAGGAGUUAGGGCCCACCCUCUCCAUAACGUCAGCCAAUUAUAUGGCAGAAGGAAGUUACGUAUGGAAUCCUCAGUUAUAUAAGCCGGUGUUCAUCGGCUAAUAAAUGCACUUCACCAUCCA